CCUACGGGUGGCAGCAGUGGGGAAUAUUGCACAAUGGGGGAAACCCUGAUGCAGCGACGCCGCGUGAGUGAAGAAGUAAUUCGUUACGUAAAGCUCUAUCAGCAGGGAAGAAAAUGACGGUACCUGAGUAAGAAGCCCUGGCUAACUACGUGCCAGCAGCCGCGGUAAUACGAAGGGGGCAAGCGUUAUCCGGAUUUACUGGGUGUAAAGGGAGCGUAGUCGGUUCGACAAGUCUGGCGUGAAAUGCCGCGGCUUAACUGGGGAACUGCUUUGGAAACUGGCGAACUAGAGUGCGGGAGGGGUAAGCGGAAUUCCUGGUGUAGCGGUGAAAUGCGUAGAUAUUAGGAAGAACACCGGUGGCGAAGGCGGCUUACUGGACCGUAACUGACGUUGAGGCUCGAAAGCGUGGGGAGCAAACAGGAUUAGAUACCCUAGUAGUC
rnacentral:rRNA from 1 species